rnacentral:rRNA from 1 species
AUUGAACGCUGGCGGCAUGCCUUACACAUGCAAGUCGAACGGUAACAGGUCUUCGGAUGCUGACGAGUGGCGAACGGGUGAGUAAUACAUCGGAACGUGCCCAGUAGUGGGGGAUAACUACUCGAAAGAGUGGCUAAUACCGCAUGAGAUCUACGGAUGAAAGCAGGGGAUCGCAAGACCUUGUGCUACUAGAGCGGCCGAUGGCAGAUUAGGUAGUUGGUGGGAUAAAAGCUUACCAAGCCGACGAUCUGUAGCUGGUCUGAGAGGACGAUCAGCCACACUGGGACUGAGACACGGCCAGACUCCUACGGGAGGCAGCAGUGGGGAAUUUUGGACAAUGGGCGCAAGCCUGAUCCAGCAAUGCCGCGUGCAGGAUGAAGGCCUUCGGGUUGUAAACUGCUUUUGUACGGAACGAAAAGCCCUGGGUUAAUACCCUGGGGUCAUGACGGUACCGUAAGAAUAAGCACCGGCUAACUACGUGCCAGCCGCCGCGGUAAGAC